GUUAAUUUUUUUUAAUAUUGGUUAGUUUUUAAAUAUUAGUUAGUUUAGAUAUUAGUUAGUUUAAAAAUAAUUAUUAGUUAGUUUUUUUUAUAAUUUAUUAUAAAUAAUAUGUAUAUAUAUAUAUUUAGGUCCAUUGGAUCCUUUUUACUUUACUUACAUAAAAAACAAAAAAAAGAAAUAAUAAAAAAGGAGGAAUCCAAGGAAAACACUCCCAACGGUCUGCCAGACACCUCACCCCACUAAAUUCCCACUCACAUUCCACUCUUCCACUCUCAUUCCUCAGCACAUACUGAAUAAAACAAAAAAGAAAAGGAUAAAAAGAGGGCGUAUGCAUUAUCACAGGGAAUCUCUGAGAAAAGAUCUCUCUCACGCUCUCACUCCCUCAACAGCACAAAAACCCUUCCAUCUCUCACUCUCCUCACUCACUCUCUCAGAUAUCUCACAAAACCCUAUCCGCCGCUACCUCACCAUCCUCUCACUCUCGGAAAUUUCCUCUCCGUCUCUUCACUACCACACGCACCUCACCUACCUUCUCUCCAUUCUCUCAAAGAAAGAAAAAGAAAUUAAAAAAUAAUACUGUUUCCUCUCAGUGACCACGAAACCCAUUUUUCUCCCUCAACCAACACCAGCCGCCGUCCUCCUCUCCAUUUUCAUUCACCACCGUCAUCUCACAAAC
rnacentral:lncRNA from 1 species